rnacentral:rRNA from 1 species
AUUGAACGCUGGCGGCAGGCCUAACACAUGCAAGUCGAGCGAGCGGCGGACGGGAGAGUAAUGUCUGGGAAACUGCCUGAAGGAGGGGGAUAACUACGGGAAACGGUAGCUAAUACCGCAUACCAUCAGAUGUGCCCAGAUGGGAUUAGCUAGUAGGUGGGGUAACGGCUCAACGAGGCGACGAUCCCUAGCUGGUCUGAGAGGAUGACCAGCCACACUGGACCUGAGACACGGUCCAGACUCCUACGUGAGGCAGCAGUGGGGAAUAUUGCACAAUGGGCGCAAGCCUGAUGCACCCAUGCCGCGUGUGUGAAACAGGCCUUGGGGUUGUAAAGCACUUUCAGCGGGGAGGCGUUACCCGCAGAAGAAGCACCGGCUAACUUCGUGCCAGCAGCCGCGGUAAUAC